rnacentral:rRNA from 1 species
GGCUCAGGAUGAACGCUAGCGGCAGGCUUAAUACAUGGCAAGGUCGUGGGGCAGCAUGAGUAGACAAUACUUGAUGGCGACCGGCAAACGGGUGAGGAACACGUACACAACCUUCCUUCAAGCGGGGAAUAGCCCAGAGAAAUUUGGAUUAAUACCCCAUAAUAUAUUUGAUAAGGCAUCUUAUUAAUAUUAAAGCUUCGGCACUUGAUGAUGGGUGUGCGGCUGAUUAGAUAGUUGGCGGGGUAACGGCCCACCAAGUCUACGAUCAGUAGCUGAUGUGAGAGCAUGAUCAGCCACACGGGCACUGAGACACGGGCCCGACUCCUACGGGAGGCAGCAGUAAGGAAUAUUGGACAAUGGACGAAAGUCUGAUCCAGCCAUGCCGCGUGAAGGAUUAAGGUCCUCUGGAUUGUAAACUUCUUUAUAUGGGACGAAAAAAGGGCAUUCUUGUUCACUUGACGGUACCAUAUGAAUAAGCACCGGCUAACUCCGUG